rnacentral:misc_RNA from 1 species
GGAAGUUCAAUCAGCAGGAAGUGACGAGAGGCGUGACUGGGACUCAGGGAUCCUCUGCUUCCUCCAUUGAGAAUAGCCGGAACUGAAACAGAGCCGUCAGGAUGUUGCGCAACAAUGUAAUAACGUCUUUCAUGAAGAAGAUGGUAACGACGCAACCGGAAGCCGGCGCAUCGGGAUCAGUUACGCCAGAGGAGAGCGGAAAGACCUUGAGCAAACUGUGGCAGCUGGGAAACAUCAUAGCGACAGGGAAUGUGGCGAAGCCGGCCAAGGUCACCCCGGUGGAGGACAUUCAGCCCAAAGAGGAGACUUCCGCGAUUGAAUCUCUGAAACCAAAGUCGGAAACGGGUGGAAAGACAAGCAGCGGGGACGACUGUAGAGUAUGUCGAAAGUCGUUCGGCCCUGAGGAGGUUUCGCGAACUUGUUGCGAGUGUCAACACAAGGUCUGCGAGGACUGCGCGUCGUACUCGACGACAACGAAUUCCGACGAUCCGUCUUCCUGGCGAUGUAGCGUUUGUCGUCGAAAGAUCGCCUCGAGGGACCAGCCGAUUGUAACGCAGGAAUCCACGGAUUCGCUGCUGGACGUGCCAAUUCUGGAAGCGCUCCAGAGGAGGCACAGCGAUGCCCGGCUUGGCCCUACCGGAAGCCAAAUAGGCGCACUCGGAAGCGGACUCGCUCCACCGCGAAGUCCGGAAAUCCGAAGGCAUUCUGACGUUUCACCGGCCAGUCUCAAAGAACUCGAAAAGUUUCGAAAGGUUGCAGGAGAACGCCGCGAGGAGCUCAGAUGGGAGCGUGAUUUGGACCGGAAGAGCAAGUCGAGAGGUGGUUCGCCCGAUCGUCAUCAGGUCUCCGACAGAGGGAGAGCGACCAGCCCUCAAAGGGUCGUUAUGCCGGCUCAGACUCAGGGUGCCGAGCAGGAAGCCGGCGAUCUGGACGACGAGGAGGAGCGUCGGCGUCGCGCUCGUCGAGGAGGUGGCACGGUUCGUCGUAAAUCUCGCGUGACCAGACAGCGAUCCUACGACGACGAAAUCAAAACAGCAGCCGCGAUGGCCGGGGGUGGCGCGCAGCCUACGCACCCCGAUACCGGCCUAGGACUUCCGGUUCAGCUGCCAAGACGAGCAUCCGCUUACGAUGUUUAUGCCGCACCCGGAGGCAGUGGCCUUAACGCGAUGGCCAUCGCCGCUGCCCAGCAGAGAGCCUCCAUGUCAGCGCAGGGUGCCCGGGAAUCUGAAGAGCGGCCAACUGCGCGCAGAUCCUCCUUCCGUGCCGUAAAGCCGGUGAUGCCCUACGAGGUCGUGGCCGACGACGAAAAGAUGAUUAAGCUCGACUCGUCAUCUGCACCUGCGGUGGCACCGCCCGUGUCGCAACCCGUUCUCGUGCCCGAUGAGGAGAGGCGCAAUCGGCGAAGGGGCUCCCAAUUACCCGACAUAAACGCAAUAAGGGCAUUGACAUCGGCCCAACCAGGAGCACCAAAGGGCGCCCCUACGACAGCCGUUAGCAGGGUCGCGGCUGAAGAACGCGAAUUGCCUAGACAGAGCAGUCUGGUCGACGGAGAAGGUAUCAAGAUCGUCAUUCACGAUGUCGAUAGUGAUCUCGCUCCACGGAUGAAUGCGAAGAGGAGGGUGAAGCUCAGGAGGGAUCCGGUCAUGGAUAAAGGACACAGAACGCGCGGAUUUGGCAUGAGGGUGGUCGGUGGCAAGACCGGGUCAGAUGGCCGCACCUUUGCCUGCAUUGUUUGGACCGUGCCGGGUGGUCCCGCCGAGAAGGCCGGUUUGCAGCAAGGCGACAAGGUGCUAGAAUGGUCCGGCGUGUCUCUGAUCGACCGUAGCUUCGAAGAGGUGCAGCAAAUAAUCGAGCGGACCGACGAUGUGGCGGAACUGGUGGUAGAACAUGCGACCGAUAUCACUGGAGACUUGCUGGACGAUCCGCAAGCCGGCAAAACACCUCCAAAUUUGGGCCUGCUGAUGGACACCGAAACGGACAAAACGCCCUCGUCGCCAACGCGCAGGAAACUGCCAAAGACGCCGGAGCAACUAGCAAAGGAGAGGCAAGUGACCGGUCGCGUACAGAUUCAGGUUUCGUACGAAACGGAACGCAAAGAACUGGUCGUUUCGGUCUUUAUGGCUGAUGACUUGUGUGCUCGGGAAGACACCGGAUUCGGCACGUUACCAGAGGCUUUUGCCAAGCUCGUCCUUGCACCGCCAUGCGGCGAUAGAACUCCUUUGAAAACUAUCGUUGCUGAACCGACCCAGAAACCUAUCUGGAACGCUACAUUGUUCUUUACCGGAGUUGAUGGGGAGAGCCUGAUGGAACGUGCAAUCGAGGUGACUCUUUGGGAUUACUGUCCCGAAGGCGACAAUGUGUUCCUUGGUGAAUGUACUGUCGAUGUUCAGCGAGCUCUUGAAAAUGACAGAGCAGUUUGGUACCGGCUGGAAGACCCACGCGGACUUCGAACAGGCAAGUCGCCGUAUUGUUCGCCACGCGGCUCGCUGACGAUGGACAUUGCCCAGAGAUUGCUGAGGAAAGAGCUGCGAGACCGUAGUUAUAGCGACGAUACGCAGAGUGACAGCGGCAGUCCGGAAUUUUGCUUUCUGCACCCGGACCAGGCUUGGCACGGCAGUUCUAGACGCGGCUCCAGCCAGUCCGAACAGCUCGAGGUCGAGCCCUACGAGCUCAGUCGGGAUUACAGCAGAUCCUUGCCGGGUAGCCGUAGAAGUAGCUUCCAAAGUCAAGGCGGCACCGACAGUAAACGUGGAAGCAUGGGCGAAGCUGACAUGCCCAACGUAGUUUAUUACAAUCGUGAUCGACGGCGGAGCUCGUUCACCAGACCGAUGAGGGAUCCUGAGGAGAUUCUGGAGGGUCUGCGAUCAUUGAAGGCGGUCAAGGGCGAACUCAACAGAACUAUGAGUCUCUCUGGGGACAAGAGACGCAGCAGCAGCAGCCUGCGAGCCUGUGUCUCCGAGGACCGGUAACUCGGCCUCCUUCCCACUGCCGCACUCCACACCACCUCGAUAAAUAACCGCAAGGCACUGUCAACCAACGUUAUGGGCUUCCGACAAUGUGAGCGCUAGCCACUUGCUGCUACCACUGUUGCUAUCUACAAUCGUGAUUUUAG